rnacentral:rRNA from 1 species
CUUGCUCCCGGAUGUUAGCGGCGGACGGGUGAGUAACACGUGGGUAACCUGCCUGUAAGACUGGGAUAACUCCGGGAAACCGGAGCUAAUACCGGAUAGUUCCUUGAACCGCAUGGUUCAAGGAUGAAAGACGGUUUCGGCUGUCACUUACAGAUGGACCCGCGGCGCAUUAGCUAGUUGGUGGGGUAAUGGCUCACCAAGGCGACGAUGCGUAGCCGACCUGAGAGGGUGAUCGGCCACACUGGGACUGAGACACGGCCCAGACUCCUACGGGAGGCAGCAGUAGGGAAUCUUCCGCAAUGGACGAAAGUCUGACGGAGCAACGCCGCGUGAGUGAUGAAGGUUUUCGGAUCGUAAAGCUCUGUUGUUAGGGAAGAACAAGUGCGAGAGUAACUGCUCGCACCUUGACGGUACCUAACCAGAAAGCCACGGCUAACUACGUGCCAGCAGCCGCGGUAAUACGUAGGUGGCAAGCGUUGUCCGGAAUUAUUGGGCGUAAAGGGCUCGCAGGCGGUUUCUUAAGUCUGAUGUGAAAGCCCCCGGCUCAACCGGGGAGGGUCAUUGGAAACUGGGAAACUUGAGUGCAGAAGAGGAGAGUGGAAUUCCACGUGUAGCGGUGAAAUGCGUAGAGAUGUGGAGGAACACCAGUGGCGAAGGCGACUCUCUGGUCUGUAACUGACGCUGAGGAGCGAAAGCGUGGGGAGCGAACAGGAUUAGAUACCCUGGUAGUCCACGCCGUAAACGAUGAGUGCUAAGUGUUAGGGGGUUUCCGCCCCUUAGUGCUGCAGCUAACGCAUUAAGCACUCCGCCUGGGGAGUACGGUCGCAAGACUGAAACUCAAAGGAAUUGACGGGGGCCCGCACAAGCGGUGGAGCAUGUGGUUUAAUUCGAAGCAACGCGAAGAACCUUACCAGGUCUUGACAUCCUCUGACAACCCUAGAGAUAGGGCUUUCCCUUCGGGGACAGAGUGACAGGUGGUGCAUGGUUGUCGUCAGCUCGUGUCGUGAGAUGUUGGGUUAAGUCCCGCAACGAGCGCAACCCUUGAUCUUAGUUGCCAGCAUUCAGUUGGGCACUCUAAGGUGACUGCCGGUGACAAACCGGAGGAAGGUGGGGAUGACGUCAAAUCAUCAUGCCCCUUAUGACCUGGGCUACACACGUGCUACAAUGGACAGAACAAAGGGCUGCAAGACCGCAAGGUUUAGCCAAUCCCAUAAAUCUGUUCUCAGUUCGGAUCGCAGUCUGCAACUCGACUGC